GAGUUUGAUCAUGGCUCAGAUUGAACGCUGGCGGUAGGCUUAACACAUGCAAGUCGUGCGAGAAAGUAUCUUCGGAUAUGAGUAGAGCGGCGGACGGGUGAGUAACGCGUAGGAAUCUACCUAGUAGAAGGGGAUAGCCCGAGGAAACUCGGAUUAAUACCGUAUACCUCCUUCGGGAGAAAGAAGGCCUCUCUUUGAAGCUUUCGCUACUAGAUGAGCCUGCGUAAGAUUAGCUUGUUGGUGAGGUAAAGGCUCACCAAGGCUACGAUCUUUAGCGGGUCUGAGAGGACGAUCCGCCACAUUGGGACUGAGACACGGCCCAGACUCCUACGGGAGGCAGCAGUGGGGAAUAUUGGACAAUGGGCGCAAGCCUGAUCCAGCCAUACCGCGUGUGUGAAGAAGGCCCUAGGGUUGUAAAGCACUUUAAGUUGGGAAGAAAAGUUAUUGGCUAAUACCCAAUGACCGUGACAUUACCAUCAGAAUAAGGACCGGCUAAUUCCGUGCCAGCAGCCGCGGUAAUACGGAAGGUCCAAGCGUUAAUCGGAAUUACUGGGCGUAAAGCGCGCGUAGGUGGUUUAUUAAGUUGGAUGUGAAAUCCCCGGGCUCAACCUGGGAACUGCAUCCAAAACUGAUUCACUAGAGUACGAUAGAGGGAGGUAGAAUUCACAGUGUAGCGGUGGAAUGCGUAGAUAUUGUGAAGAAUACCAAUGGCGAAGGCAGCUUACUAACAUGUAACUGACGCUGAGGGACGAAAGCGUGGGGAGCGAACAGGAUUAGAUACCCUGGUAGUCCACGCCGUAAACGAUCAUCACUCGCUGUUGGCGAUAUACUGUCAGCGGCCAAGCGAAAGUAUUAAGUGAUGCACCUGGGGAGUACGCCGGCAACGGUGAAACUCAAAGGAAUUGACGGGGGCCCGCACAAGCGGUGGAGCAUGUGGUUUAAUUCGAUGAUACGCGAGGAACCUUACCAGGGCUUAAAUGUAGUUUGACCGGCUUAGAAAUAGGCUUUCUCUUCGGAGCAAAUUACAAGGUGCUGCAUGGUUGUCGUCAGCUCGUGCCGUGAGGUGUUAGGUUAAGUCCUGCAACGAGCGCAACCCCUAUUCUUAGUUGCCAGCGGUUCGGCCGGGGACUCUAAGAAGACUGCCAGCGCAAGCUGUGAGGAAGGUGGGGAUGACGUCAAAUCAUCACGGCCCUUACGUCCUGGGCUACACACGUGCUACAAUGGUAGAGACAGAGGGCAGCCACCUGGUGACAGGGAGCGAAUCCUUAAACUCUAUCUCAGUUCGGAUCGAAGUCUGCAACUCGACUUCGUGAAGCUGGAAUCGCUAGUAAUCGCGCAUCAGCCAUGGCGCGGUGAAUACGUUCCCGGGCCUUGUACACACCGCCCGUCAAGCCAUGGAAGCUGGGGGCACCUGAAGUCGGUAACCGCAAGGAGCCGCCUAGGGUGAAACUGGUAACUAGGGCUAAGUCGUAACGAGGUAACC
rnacentral:rRNA from 1 species